AAUAACAGCAUGUCUUCUUGGUCACAACUAGGCCUCUGUGCCAAAAUAGAGUUUUUAAGCAAAGAGGAGAUGGGAGGAGGUUUACGAAGAGCUGUCAAAGUACAGUGUACCUGGUCAGAACAUGAUAUCCUCAAAUCAGGGCAUCUUUAUAUUAUCAAAUCUUUUCUUCCAGAGGUGGUUAAUACAUGGUCAAGUAUUUAUAAAGAAGAUACAGUUCUGCAUCUCUGUCUGAGAGUAAGUGUCAGUGAAUAUUUAAUAGUGGAACAUAAUUUAAGCUUUAUAUUUUAACUUCUGAAAUAUCAAUAAGCCAAAUAUAAUCUUAGUUUAAGUAUUAAACAAGGGUUCUCCCCACCCUCCCUUUUAUAGGAAAUUCAACAACAGAGAGCAGCACAAAAGCUUACAUUUGCCUUUAAUCAAAUGAAACCCAAAUCCAUACCAUAUUCUCCAAGGUUCCUUGAAGUUUUCCUGCUGUAUUGCCAUUCAGCAGGACAGUGGUUUGCUGUGGAAGAAUGUAUGACUGGAGAAUUUAGAAAAUACAACAAUAAUAAUGGAGAUGAGAUUAUUCCAACCAAUACUCUGGAAGAGAUCAUGCUAGCCUUUAGCCACUGGACUUACGAAUAUACAAGAGGGGAGUUACUGGUACUUGAUUUGCAAGGUGUUGGUGAAAAUUUGACUGACCCAUCUGUGAUAAAAGCAGAAGAAAAGAGAUCCUGUGAUAUGGUUUUUGGCCCA
rnacentral:sRNA from 1 species